GUUCACAGACUCUUAAGCUCUUUCAUGCCUCAAAGUUGAAGCAGCCUAAGACAGUUUCAUACACAACAGAAGUGAGCCUUCCAGAAUAUUUUCGUAUCCCCAAGAAAAUCUACAUUCCUCAGAUUCCAAAACCUCAAACUAAAUUGACUAAAUCUCAAGGAAUUAAACCUGCAAAAGAAAGAGAUUCAGAUCGAUCUGUUCCAGUUCCUUUAGAGUUUAUUCCUCUCCUUCCUGGACGCUACCCUUGUAAAAUUUUAUUGCAGUCAAGAUAUGAUGUGCGUGCCUAUUAUGUUGAAGGUAUUGUGAAUGAAGAACAACCAGAGGCCAGCUUCAAAUUCGAAACACCAGCAUUUGAAGCUCUUACUCAGAAUAUUCCAAUAAAAAAUCAAACAAUGAAUGAAUGGAAAUUUCAAGUUACUAUAGAAGGAGAAUGGUUUUAUGGACCUACUUUUUUAUGUGUUCGAUCAGGUGAAACUGUGAAAUAUCCUCUCACAUUCAAACCUAUUUUGGAAUGUGUCAUUAUGGGUAAACUUAUUCUACAAAAUGAAGUAAAUGGUAUGGAGCACAUCUUUGACAUAAAAGGGGUUGGAAAAAAACCUGCAGCCUUGGACCACAUCACUGUGAAAUGUCAAGUAGGCAAUGAGACAAAAAGACGUAUAAUAUUGCCUGAUUUUGCAACUACUGCCCUAACAUUUAAGGUGACUACAGAUCUUCCGAUAGUGUGGGGAAAUCCAGAGAUUACCAUAUACCCGUAUAAACAAAUUCCAUACAUUCUACAUGUGCACCCUUGGAAACGUGGUAUAAUGAAAGGUACAAUUAUAUUUUCUUUUAUAAGAAAGAAAUGUGAUGAUUGUGAGGAAGACACAGAUCAAGAUCAAGCAACCUCCUUUCUUGAUUCAAUAACAGAACAAUCUAGCACUUUUGAUUCUGGAGACCCAGAUGAUAAAUUUAGCAAUUUAAGAAUCUACUAUAAUCUUGAGAUCCACAGCACUCCUGGACCACCCAUAGACAUUAUGGAAAUGGCAUGUAGGGCUUUGAAUACGACUUGUAUUGAAAUACCAAUCUCCAAUCCAAAAAAUCACGUUCUUCGCUUAGAUGUACAGUUAAUGAGUGCUGCCCUUGAUGGUGAUAGUGAAAUAAUCCUGAGCCCACUACAGUGCACCAGCUAUAUUUUAUGGUACUCUCCAGCAAGAACAGGCCAUAGUGAUGAAAGCAUUAUUUUUCAGCCUGAAAUGGCUGAUGAGUUCUGGUAUUUACUGAAACUAACUAUUGAAUUACCAAAACCAAUCACAAUGUCAGAAGUAGAGUGCGACCUUGGCAAGUAUGUCACUCAGAUCAUUCCCUUAGCUAAUACUACACAUGAAACCUUAGAACUGCAAGCAACAAACAGUAAUCCUGAAAAUUUUGUCCUGGAUCUUGACAUGAAAUCACAACUGAUCAUAACUCCUCACUCCACCAGGGAGUUAUCUGUUCACUUUUACCCUUCUGCACUUGGAAGAGCUCAUCAUCAAGCUUGCAUCAACUUCCACUGUACUCAGGUCUGGAACAUCCCAGGCAUCUUGUCAUUAAUCCUUGCUGGGAUAACUUCAUCUGUGAGAAUUCUGCCUUCCGAUUUAGUUCUUUGCAUCAAACGCAAGAAAAUGGUUAAGGUAGGUAGGCAAAUUUUACUCUUUCAAUUCAUCUAUAUAGUGCUUUUUUGCUAUGUAAUGAAAACUUAAUUUGAUUGCUCCUCACUUAAUUAGCCAAUUUCCACUUUUUUGGUUAAAUAAUAAUAAUAAUUUUGUUGCUAUUUAAGUUUGAAGUGUGACUUAUC
rnacentral:lncRNA from 1 species